AUGUUUCUUCCUGUUUCAGAGCUUCUACUUCACAACAGAGUCUCUCAGCUACAAGUAUUCUUUCCUUCCUCCCUGGGGAAAUUGGGGACAACUGGUUACCAACAUCCCUAUGAUCAACUCAUACUGCUUAAAGAGCAUUUCUAAUUUGCUCUUGAUUCCUUAUUUCAUCUGGUUAGAAAAUGCCACCUAUUUUCAUUAUUUCUCAUAAGGUUAUUGUUCUCAUAAUCAGACCUUUGAUCAUUUUAGUGAAUUUCUUCUGGCCUUCUACUUUUAGCGUUAGACUCAAUGUUUUUUGUAGAAUUUAUAGAGACUUCUGGAACACUUCAUCUUUAAGGAUGGAGGAGAGAAGGAUUCAUUUUGUAAGAGGACUACUAGAGUUUUUCUUUACUAAGCUAUGGGAGAGCACAGUCUACAGGCAUACCUCAGAGGCAGCACAGGCUUGGUUCCAGAGAACCACGAAAAAGCAAAUAUCACAGUGAAACAAGUCACACCAUGCAUGUGAAAGUUAGGUUUACACUAUAUUGUAGUCUAUUAAAUGUGCAAUAGUAUUAUGGCUAAAAAAAAUCAUGAGCAAAUGCUGUUGGAAAAAUGAUGCCAGUAGACUCAUUUGAUACAAACCCUCAAUUUGUAAAAACUGCAAUAUUUGUGAAACGUGAGAAAACGAGGUAUGCCUGUGACCUCCUCCAGUUUGUAAAUGAGAGAGUUGAGACCCGGAGGAGACAUGACUUGCCCAGAGUCACGUGCUGGUCAGUGACAGCUGACUAGGAAGGCUUUAGUUGCCACUAGAUCCUUGGCCUUUUGGUGGGGGUUGUUCCUCUUUGGUGCUCAGUGAGGAAGAGAGGGAGAGGAAGACCCUUCUUCUGCCAGAGCAAGAGCAUCCCCCAGGGUUGAUGCUGCUUCUUCCUUGAGGGUCCUAUUGGGGAGGCACCCACCAGCAGACAGGAAAGCUGAUGAGCCUUUUCCUUACCCCGAGGACAGUUCACCUGCCACAGGCUCUGAAUCAAAUUUUUCUUCACAAAACAUCCCAGCAGCAAAGUCCCACUCUCAGACCAGCCAAAAAAAAAAAAAAACCAGCCCCCAUGCCCAGAACUUGAUGUUACAGACCCAAGUCUUCUCUUUAGGUCUCAACACUCUAGCGGCUUUUGCAGUUUGUUUUUGUACAAACAUAAAUUAUUUAAAUCACACAAGAUGACAGUCAACUUUUCAAACCAGGUACCGAUCACUUGUAUGAUUUUUGUGUAUGCUCUGGUACACUACGCCUGUGCUAACGAAGGCUAGAACCCAUUUUGUGUGUUGGUGUUCACACCUGUGACAUUAAGAGGAUACGUCUGCAUUGCUUCUUUCCUUCUGUUGAUGUUUCUGUGGCGAAACCCUGCACAUGUCAUUUCUGAAAAGCCUUAAAUCUUCGCGAUGUUGCAUGUAGGGUUUGCAGUGCAGAAGGCUGCCUCGGAACUGUGAGCCCUUUUGUAAGCUGGAAGCAUUUCUCUUACUAUUGUUACUUUUGUAGGAAGUUUUCAAUUCAGAGCUGCCAAAGCGUUCAGUAAGCAGUGCCUUAGUGAUACUUAGUCGUGCCGCCAGCCUUUUCUCACACCGGUUCUCUAUGUCCCUUUACUAAUCGGCUCAGUAUUUAAAACAGAACAAGCAAGCGUUGUUUUCCAUUUUGUUUUUCGUAAGCCCAUUUUUCUCCAUAUCUAUAGAAAACUGACUUCUUGGUCUGAAAUCCGAAAUGAACAGAAGUCAGUUCAUUGACCACACCGUCCAAUGUCUAUACCAAAAUGGAAGGUCUUGCAACUUCAUAGUUUACUAUGAAAAGCAAAUUGUAUACUUUAAAUGUUGCCUUUUAAAUCCACGACCAAAAACUUAGCUAUUUGUGAACCUUCUGCACUCUAGCAUGAAAGUGCCUUUGGUUUGAGAUUCCAGCUUAGAAAAGUGCUGCCAUAAUCAUGAUAAUUUGUAGAGAGACCAAAAAUAUUCUGAGAUCACCGUAAUGCCUUUGGUUUACCGGGAUGAAUAACCAACGACAGGCCUCUGUUCACAAGAGCACGACAUGGACCCCGCCUGCUGUGCAUCAUACGCCGUAGGGGACCCCCCCCACCACUCCCAGCCCUGGAGCCCACGGCAGCAGGAGGAUCCCCAGAAACUGGUAUGUUUGUGUGCCAUGACCCAGUACGCCAUCUCUACCCAUCACCCAGCCCUGCGUCCGCCCGAGGGGACUUGCACACAACCCGCAGGCUGUCAGCCAGUGGACAGAUGUGACCUUCUCCGUACGCUUGUGCUCAGUCUGUAGAGCCUGCCUUUCCACUCAGAUGCCAGCGCGCACUUCUCCGGUUUACGCAGUGAUACCGUUUUGAAAGUUGGAAGCCUCAAACUGAGAUGACAGUGCAGAACAAAAAAUGGUUUAGGGUCAUCACAAUUGACGUGUUCUUCUUAGGGCGAAAAUGUUGACUCUGAGUGUUGUCUGAAUGUGCUAUGAGAAACUCCCAAAGAGUACCACUCACAAUUCGGAAUUUUCAAAGAAUGUUCCAGCCCUCUAAAGGGCAACUCUUUUAGAGUCCCUGUUGGCUUUUAUCAAAACUUUGCGUAAAUUGGGAAAACUGAUAGAGGGGAGGAAGAGGAGUGAAAAGGACGAGAAGGCAAAAACACCAGCCAAAUAAAAGCCAGGACAAAAAAAAAAGAUUGUUCUUUACCAAUAUAGACUUUACAAUGACAUUAGAAUCGUUGAAAGUUAGCCUCUGAAUGUGUAUAAUCCAUCUGUUUCUACCUGGUGUCUUUAAGAAUACCCUCUUUGGGCUCUCUGAAACUUCAGGAGUGAUUUCUAUCCACACCAAGUUGUGAGUGCUCAUAGAAGUUUAUACAAUGAAAAAAAAAAAAGUCAAAUGAAAAGGAAAAUUGCUCAACAUAAGUUAUAGUUAGCUGCUUGAAUUCAGCCCCUCCCUGUCAUGUCAAGACUACACCACAACUUGGAAGAAAUUAAUCAAAUAUUUGUUUUCCUGUUUCCCUCUUCAACUGUUCCUGUGCUUUCUUUGGCAAUAGUUUUCUCUCAUUAACUCAUUGCUUAUAUUGUUAAGAAUGAAGGUUUGUGUUUAAAAUGUAUUGCAUUGCAAAGGAUAGUUUCUCUGAAGUCAUGCACCAUUAAAUAAGAUGAAAUAUUUGUAUUUAUUGUCCUACUUCCUAAGAUGUUAACUUGUUUUAUUCUCUGUGAAUUUGCAUUGAGUCUGUCAUAUGCCCCACUCCAUCAUUUUAAUAUUUGAAAUGGCAUUCAUUUUCCCUCUCUGUUCAUCAUUAAGUGGGGUCAGAUUCCAAAAGAUUCCACCUCUCUCAGGCUGGCUCUCUUUCGUCUGACUUCCAUUGUGAAAAUUUCUCAUUCCCCUUUUUCUUAAGAGAGGCUGACAGAAUCUAGGUAUAAAUCAAUUGGAAACCAGUCUCUGGUUUUCUCUCUCCCUCCCUCCCUUUCUUUCUUCUUUCUCUUUUCCUUUUUGCCUCAGUCCUUUUCUGUGAUUAGUUUCACUGUGUAAAUUAGAUAUGAACUGCACUUCUUAAAAAAAAAUCUCCCUGUUACCUCCUUGAAAGAGUCCCUUCCGUAGGCCUUUCUCAGUAGGCUCAUGACUGCAGAUAAGGAAGAAAAAAACAAGUAAAAACAAAAACUACGUGCCUAAAAAUGACAAAAAAAAAGUUUUGUAACAUUUAAAAAAGAAACCUGAAUAGCCUUUAAUUCUUAUGAAUAUGCUUACAUUUUAUGUAAAUUGGUUUUUGCCACGUGUGUUUGUUCACAUUCUCAGUGACUUAAUGGGAUUCUCACAGUCUGUGUCUUCGUGUCACGUGUAUAAAAUGGGCUUGUGAUGUAAGCGUUUCAUCUGCUCAGUGGUUCCUUCAAUAUUGUACUGCUGUUGGGAGCGGGCUGAGGAGUCUGCCUUUGGGCAGUAAGCUUCCUCUUGGAGAGAUUGGAGAGAUGGGGGGUGGGGGGUGCAAAUUCUCACAUAUGUUUUCUUAACCUAUUUGCAGAAGCUUUCAAAAGGCAUUUGGUUAAACCUCUUGGCAGUACAGUAUUCUUGUAUUUGUUAAUGUCUGUGUUUAGGUACUGGUACCUUUUUGUUUAAAAAUGUUCUAAGUGUUGGCUUUAAAGUGAAUUUAUCUUUAGUAUGAUAGUUAUAUGAAAAUUAUAGGGUUUGUGUGCAGAGAAUUUUUUUAUAAAGUGCUUUGUAAAAAAAAAAAAAAUGUAUUCUAGCUUUCGCGGUACAUAUGUGUGAUAACUGUAAUAUCCAUGACAGUUAAGUGCAAUUAUUUCAUCACUCUAAAAAUGCUAUUUUUGUGUCAGUUCCUGCAGGUGUUUUCAUGUCUUUGCAAAGUGACACAUUUUGAUGCCUUCUUGAUAAAGUGGUAGACAUUUUGUAGCUUUAUAGAAACUUUGUAUUCAUACGGUAUCAAUGAAAAAUAAAGAAAAUGAAAG
rnacentral:lncRNA from 1 species